ensembl:lncRNA
UCUUUCUGGUGAUCCUUCCUUUGUGGAGCUUUUUAUUGUGAGCCUAAAUCUUUGGAUAUACGUCAAUAACUUCUUGUCUCCUCUGCUACAAAUAUGGAGAACAGGCUGCUCCAUUUUUGCAUCAAUGUUUUAGGAUCAAAUGCCUCUCCAUACACCACAGGAGCCCACUGUGGAGCCCUGACAGCCCAGGAGUGAGUGUGAGCUCCCAUCCUGGGCUGGUGCUAUGGCCUUACCCAUAUGGAGCCUUCAUGGAACUGAGCCAAAUUACCCCCUUCCACAAUCUAAGCAAGCACCUUUAUCUCUGGGCUUUCAUUUUCACUCUGUGGGUGUUUGGCAAUGGGGAUUAUAUUAGCAUACCAAGUAAUUAUUACCAUAUGCUAUUGUUUGAGGUCCUAACUGACGAUGUGUGUGGAGAAUGAUCUGAAUGAUACGUAUGGUAUCUCUCUUUACACACAGAGACAGGGGGAUCUAGGGUGUGACUAACUUCUUCCUAAAUACAGUUAAAAUUAUCUGCACCCAAAUUAUAUAUAUUUUUUUGCUACUGACUGUACAGGGAACCCAUCUCAGUCACAGCUGUCCCACUUGGAGAUGCCUUAUGGUAAAGUAAUUCUCACCUGAAAGAUGGACAGUUAAAUUCAACCCAAAACUUUAGUCCACACAGAAUACACAGUGUUAAGCAAGUCAGUCAGUGUAAUAAAUACAUGCCUAAACAUCUGCUCCAAGGGUUUAAAAAAUAAAACAAAAUAAGAACUUUGGGAAGUAAAAAUGCAGAACACCAAUCCCAGUUGAUUUUCUACGUUUUAUCAAGUGGAGGCAAACUCUCAAACAUUUGGAUAGAUUCAAGAAGAUGCCAUUUAUUUCUUGAUGUGAGGGCUAGCAGCUUUGCAAAGGGCAGGGAUGAGCGGGGACAAACUGUGAUGUUUCAAACCACUAUGCAGAGUGAACAAACUGCCGAUGGGAGACUCUGUUCCUUCAGCAAUGGCAGUGCAGCAACCUCUGCUUCUGUGUUCUUGGAGGCAUGGUGUCAGAUCCCUUAGCCUGCACCAGCGGAGUAACCUCUCCUCCCUGAGUUUCAUUUUUCCUAACACGACAUGAAGUUUCAGAUUUCCUGCAUAAAUAUUACAUGGGCCUCAGAAAUUAUUAAUAACAAGCGCAUUUGAAUUCAGAACCAGCUGUAGAAAUAAAUGUCCAGUACUUCAGAGGUAGUUUUACUUGUAGCAAACAGAGAUUAAAAAUGCAUUUUGCAACUUAUCACCUCUCAAAAAGCAUAAGAGGAAAAGUGAUAAAUUAUUAGGAUCCAAGCAUGGUAUAAAUGUGCCUGAGGUUUGAUUACUCGUAACUGUACCAGUAAUCAAAAGGGUAGGUACCAAAAUACCCGUGCUGUUCUUCCAUUAUAAACAGUAAUUUUUUAAUCUUAUCAUAUGAGUGUCUGUGAAGUCGAUGUAUUGAGCAAUUUGGAACUAAAAUUCCUGUCUUCAGG